rnacentral:misc_RNA from 1 species
CUUUUUUUUUUUUUUUUUUUGUCUGAUUUGAAAAGCAAUUGGAUUGCAGUUUUGUAGAUUAUUCUAUGAGUUGAUGUAAUCCUAGAUCUGAUUAAUUGAUUUUCACCUGUGAUUUCGACCAUGAUUAUCUUGUAAUUGCUUUCGUCAACAAUAUACAAGAUGUUGAUUGGUCAAGAUAUUGCCCUUAUUUGACUAUAGUUUAUUAGGAUUUGAUUUUUUGUGUCUAGCGCUUAAGAAGGCCAUCCUAUAUAGGAUAAUUUGUUGCUAGGUUAGUGCAAGAGACAAUGCGAGCACAGAGUUUGAGCUUCAGAAUUUUGGUUAUAAUAUGGUAAUUUUGGUUGUUUAUUGCACUUUGCUAAAUGUAUAUCAACAUAUACCCACCGGGUUUGGCUCAAAUGUUGCACCUUAGGCGGGUUUUUAUGUAUUUGAAACUUGUGGUUGAUGAUAUUGAGAUAUGUUCACAUAAUUCAGUUGCACUGAUUGCCGGGAAUAAUUUAUGCGAGACUAUAGUGCCUAGAUCCUAUUUUGUGUUGGCAUAUUGCUUGACAAGUCUAGUAGA